AACCAUAGAAACCUGCGGAGUACCUGCGGAAGGAUCAUUACCACACCCAAAACAAAAACCAAGGUUCUCCGAGGCUUAGGCCGAAGAGACCGAAGUUUGACCCGCGAAAACAUUCAUCUGUGUUGCUCCGCUCGAAGUGGUGCCUUCUUCCGGCCGUUGGCUUGGUAUCCUAUUUAUACAGGAGAUGCCGUAGGAUUAAGGCUAUACAUCUUGCCCUUCGUAGUGUGACAACCUGAUGCU
rnacentral:misc_RNA from 1 species